UACGGAGGAUGCAAGCGUUAUCCGGAUUUAUUGGGUUUAAAGGGUGCGCAGGUUGUUUGAUAAGUCAGUGGUGAAAGUCUGUCGCUUAACGGUAGGAUUGCCAUUGAUACUGUUAGACUUGAAUAUGGAUGAGGUAGGCGGAAUGUGUAGUGUAGCGGUGAAAUGCGUAGAUAUUAGGAGGAACACCAGUGGCGAAGGCGGGUAACUGGACUGCAACUGACGCUGAGGCGCGAAAGUGUGGGGAGCAAACAGGAUUAGAUA
rnacentral:rRNA from 1 species